UACGUAGGGACCAAGCGUUGUUCGGAUUUACUGGGCGUAAAGGGCGCGUAGGCGGCAUAUUAAGUCAGCUGUGAAAUCUCCGAGCUUAACUCGGAACUGUCAGCUGAUACUGAUGUGCUAGAGUGCAGAAGGGGCAAUCGGAAUUCUUGGUGUAGCGGUGAAAUGCGUAGAUAUCAAGAGGAACACUUGAGGUGAAGACGGGUUGCUGGGCUGACACUGACGCUGAUAGCGCGAAAGCCAGGGGAGCAAACGGG
rnacentral:rRNA from 1 species